GAUGACCUUUGGCGGCGUGCUUAACACAUGCAAGUCGAACGAAGCACUUUAACCUGAUUCUUCGGAUGAAGGUUUUUGUGACUGAGUGGCGGACGGGUGAGUAACGCGUGGGUAACCUGCCUCAUACGGGGGGAUAACAGUUAGAAAUGACUGCUAAUACCGCAUAAGACCACGGAGCCGCAUGGCUCAGUGGGAAAAACUCCGGUGGUAUGAGAUGGACCCGCGUCUGAUUAGGUAGUUGGUGGGGUAACGGCCUACCAAGCCAACGAUCAGUAGCCGACCUGAGAGGGUGGCCGGCCACAUUGGGACUGAGACACGGCCCAAACUCCUACGGGAGGCAGCAGUGGGGAAUAUUGCACAAUGGGGGAAACCCUGAUGCAGCGACGCCGCGUGAGCGAAGAAGUAUUUCGGUAUGUAAAGCUCUAUCAGCAGGGAAGAAAAUGACGGUACCUGACUAAGAAGCACCGGCUAAAUACGUGCCAGCAGCCGCGGUAAUACGUAUGGUGCAAGCGUUAUCCGGAUUUACUGGGUGUAAAGGGAGCGUAGACGGCUGUGUAAGUCUGAAGUGAAAGCCCGGGGCUCAACCCCGGGACUGCUUUGGAAACUAUGCAGCUAGAGUGUCGGAGAGGUAAGUGGAAUUCCCAGUGUAGCGGUGAAAUGCGUAGAUAUUGGGAGGAACACCAGUGGCGAAGGCGGCUUACUGGACGAUGACUGACGUUGAGGCUCGAAAGCGUGGGGAGCAAACAGGAUUAGAUACCCUGGUAGUCCACGCCGUAAACG
rnacentral:rRNA from 1 species